CCAUGCGAGUCUAGGGGCUUACCGCAAGGUAAGCACCGGCGGACGGCUCAGUAACACGUGGACAACCUGCCCUCGGGAGGGGGAUAACCCCGGGAAACUGGGGCUAAACCCCCAUAGGUGAUGGAUACUGGAAGGUUCCAUCACCGAAAGUCCGAAAGGAGCCCGAGGAUGGGUCUGCGGCGGAUUA
rnacentral:rRNA from 1 species